UGAUGGGGGUUUUUUCACUCGUGUCGUGAGAUGUUGGGUUAAGUCCCGCAACGAGCGCAACCCUUUUCCUUAUUUGCCAGCGGGUUAAGCCGGGAACUUUAAGGAUACUGCCAGUGACAAACUGGAGGAAGGCGGGGACGACGUCAAGUCAUCAUGGCCCUUACGACCAGGGCUACACACGUGCUACAAUGGUCGGUACAAAGGGUUGCUACCUAGCGAUAGGAUGCUAAUCUCAAAAAGCCGAUCGUAGUCCGGAUUGGAGUCUGCAACUCGACUCCAUGAAGUCGGAAUCGCUAGUAAUCGCGGAUCAGAAUGCCGCGGUGAAUACGUUCCCGGGCCUUGUACACACCGCCCGUCACACCAUGGGAGUUUGUUGCACCAGAAGUAGGUAGUCUAACCGCAAGGAGGACGCUUACUCACGGUUCCUGU
rnacentral:rRNA from 1 species